AGAGAGAGAGAGAGAGAGAGCAUAUAACAUACCUUUUCUGGCUCUAUCCCUCGAAGUGCACACACUCUCUGAUAAAGCUCUUGUAAAGAAGCCUGAACAAAUCAAACGGAAAAGGAGUUGAGAGAGAGAGAGAGAGAGAGAGGUUAUGAGGGAUAGAACAUAAACCCACUCUAUUAUAGAUUAAUGGGUACUAACUGGGCACUGUUCUUAUACUCUUGUUUAGAUUAUUUUGUUUAACAAAAUAAUGACCACUUGUUUCACUUUUUCUUUUUGAACAAUUGCGCAUGGUUUUGUUUAUUUGGAAAGGCAAGAGCAAGAGAAAUUCUCAAAAGUAAAUCGCAUCACAUAUAUGAUGGAGCAUCACUGAAGUUCAUCGAUUGUACCAAUUUGUAGACAUAAGUAAACUGAUUUCAUCAACAAAUGUCACAGCUAGUCAAUUUAAGUUGAACCUAGCAUGGCAGUGGUGAUAUUAUCAUCCCAUGAAGAAGUGAGA